UCAAGUUAUUAAGGGUGCAGGGCGGAUGCCUUGGCACUAGGAGCCGAUGAAGGACGUGAUAAGCUGCGAUAAGCUUCGGGGAGUUGCACGUAAACUUUGAUCCGAAGAUUUCCGAAUGAGGAAACUCACUUAGAGUAAUGUCUAAGUAUCAUUAAGUGAAUACAUAGCUUAAUGAGGGGAACUCAGGGAACUGAAACAUCUAAGUACCUGAAGGAAGAGAAAGAAAUUCGAUUCCGUAAGUAGCGGCGAGCGAACGCGGAUUAGCCCAAACCAAUAAAGUUUUCUUUAUUGGGGUUGCGGACAUAUCAUAACGAAGAGGUAUCGUAAUUGAAGAGGUUUGGAAAGACCCACCACAGAAGGUAAUAGUCCUGUAUGUUAAACGAGAAGACUUUAGAUAUGAUCCAGAGUACCACGGGACACGUGAAACCCUGUGGGAAGCAGGAGGGACCACCCUCCAAGGCUAAAUACUACCUAGUGACCGAUAGCGUAUAGUACCGUGAGGGAAAGGUGAAAAGAACCCCGGGAGGGGAGUGAAAUAGAACCUGAAACCCUGCACUUACAAGCUGUGGAAGCACAUUUCUUGUGUGACCGCGUACUUUUUGUAGAACGGGCCAACGAGUUACGUUAAGUAGCAAGGUUAAGCACUUAAGGUGUGGAGCCGUAGCGAAAGCGAGUUUUAACUGAGCGUUCAGUUACUUGACGUAGACCCGAAACCGGGCGACCUACCCAUGAGCAGGAUGAAGCGAAAGUAAAAUUUCGUGGAGGUCCGAACCCACGAGCGUUGAAAAGCUCGGGGAUGACUUGUGGGUAGCGGUGAAAUUCCAAUCGAGCCCGGAGAUAGCUGGUUCUCCCCGAAAUAGCUUUAGGGCUAGCCUCAAGGUGAGAGAUACGGAGGUAGAGCACUGAAUGUCCUAGGGGGUAUUGCACCUACCGAAGACUAUCAAACUCCGAAUGCCGUCAUCUUAUACUUGGGAGUCAGACUGUGGGUGAUAAGAUUCAUAGUCGAAAGGGCAACAGCCCAGAUCGUCAGCUAAGGUCCCUAAAUGUAAGUUAAGUGGUAAAGGAUGUGGGAUUGCACAGACAACCAGGAUGUUGGCUUAGAAGCAGCCACUCAUUCAAAGAGUGCGUAAUAGCUCACUGGUCGAGUGAUCCUGCGCCGAAGAUUUCCGGGGCUAAAACUUACUACCGAAGCUACGGCAUCAGUAAUGAUGGGUAGGGGAGCUUCCCAUACGGGUUGAAGCAUGACCGUAAGGACAUGUGGACAGUAUGGGAGUGAGAAUGUUGGCAUGAGUAGCGAGAUGUGGGUGAGAAUCCCACAGGCCGUAAACCCAAGGUUUCCAGGGGAAGGUUCGUCCGCCCUGGGUUAGUCGGGACCUAAGCUGAGGCCGAAAGGCGUAGGUGAUGGACAACAGGUUGAUAUUCCUGUACUACCGAUAACCGUUUGAGAGAAGGGAUGACACAGUAGGAUAAGCUAAGCACACUGUUGGUUAUGUGUGCCCAAGCAUUGAGGCAGUCAAAGUAGGCAAAUCCGCUUUGAUAAUGCUGGGAUGUGAUGGGGAGCGAAAUUUAGUAGCGAAGUAGCUGAUUUCACACUGUCAAGAAAAGUCUCUAUCGAGGUUAAAGGUACCCGUACCGCAAACCGACACAGGUGGGUGAGGAGAGUAUCCUAAGGCCAGCGAGAGAACUGUUGUUAAGGAACUCGGCAAAAUGACCCCGUAACUUAGGGAUAAGGGGUGCCACCAUCAGGUGGCCGCAGAGAAUAGGCCCAAGCGACUGUUUACCAAAAACAUAGGUUUCUGCUAAGUCGCAAGACGAUGUAUAGGAGCUGACGCCUGCCCGGUGCUGGAAGGUUAAGGGGAUCUGUUAGAGCAAUCGAAGCAGUGAACUUAAGCCCCAGUAAACGGCGGCCGUAACUAUAACGGUCCUAAGGUAGCGAAAUUCCUUGUCGGGUAAGUUCCGACCCGCACGAAAGGCGUAACGAUUUGGGCACUGUCUCAACAACAGACUCGGUGAAAUUGUAAUUCCGGUGAAGAUGCCGGAUACCUGCGACAGGACGGAAAGACCCCAUGGAGCUUUACUGUAGCUUGACAUUGGGUCUUGGUACUACAUGUACAGGAUAGGUGGGAGGCUUUGAAACCAGGACGCCAGUUUUGGCGGAGCCAUCCUUGGGAUACCACCCUUGUAGUACUGGGACUCUAACCAUAGGCCAUGAAUCUGGUCUUGGGACACUGUCAGGUGGGCAGUUUGACUGGGGCGGUCGCCUCCCAAAAGGUAACGGAGGCGCUCAAAGGUUCUCUCAGUACGGUCGGAAAUCGUACGUAGAGUGUAAAGGCAAAAGAGAGCUUGAUUGCAAGACAUACAGGUCGAGCAAGGAUGAAAAUCGGACUUAGUGAUCCGGUGGUUCUGCGUGGAAGGGCCAUCGCUCAACGGAUAAAAGCUACCCUGGGGAUAACAGGCUUAUCUCCCCCAAGAGUCCACAUCGACGGGGAGGUUUGGCACCUCGAUGUCGGCUCAUCACAUCCUGGGGCUGUAGUAGGUCCCAAGGGUUGGGCUGUUCGCCCAUUAAAGUGGUACGCGAGCUGGGUUCAGAACGUCGUGAGACAGUUCGGUCCCUAUCCGUCGCAGGCGUAGGAAAUUUGAGAAGACCUGUCCUUAGUACGAGAGGACCGGGAUGGACGUACCUCUGGUGUACCAGUUGU
rnacentral:rRNA from 1 species